rnacentral:rRNA from 1 species
CAGCAGGCGCGAAAACUUUACAAUGCGGGAAACCGUGAUAAGGGGACACCGAGUGCCAGCAUCAUAUGCUGGCUGUCCGGGUGUGUAAAAUACACCUGUCAGCAAGGGCCGGGCAAGACCGGUGCCAGCCGCCGCGGUAACACCGGCGGCCCGAGUGGUGAUCGUGAUUAUUGGGUCUAAAGGGUCCGUAGCCGGUUUGGUCAGUCCUCCGGGAAAUCUGACGGCUCAACCGUUAGGCUUUCGGGGGAUACUGCCAGGCUUGGAACCGGGAGAGGUAAGAGGUACUACAGGGGUAGGAGUGAAAUCUUGUAAUCCCUGUGGGACCACCUGUGGCGAAGGCGUCUUACCAGAACGGGUUCGACGGUGAGGGACGAAAGCUGGGGGCACGAACCGGAUUAGAUACCCGGGUAGUCCCAGCCGUAAACGAUGCUCGCUAGGUGUCAGGCAUGGCGCGACCGUGUCUGGUGCCGCAGGGAAGCCGUGAAGCGAGCCACCUGGGAAGUACAGCCGCAAGGCUGAAACUUAAAGGAAUUGGCGGGGGAGCACAAGGGCGAUUCGCG